rnacentral:RNase_P_RNA from 1 species
CUGACCAGGCAAAACGAUCGCUGGGUUUUUAAACCUGGAGGAAAGUCCGAACACCACAGGACAGGACGCUCCAUAACGUGGAGUCACGGUGACGUGAAGGAAAGUGCAACAGAGAGUAGACCGCCCGGGUCGGUAUAUCCGAUCCAGGUAAGGGUGAAACGGUGCGGUAAGAGCGCACCAGUUUUCCAGGUGACUGGAAAAGCUUGGUAAACCCCGUCCGGUGCAAGACCAAAUAGGGAAAUGUUUGAGGGUUGUCCGCCCAAGUUUUCGGGUAGGUCGCAUGAGGUGUGCGGCAACGUACAUCCAAGAUGAAUGAUCGUUGAUCUGUUUGCGGUAACAAGAGCAGAUAACAAAAUUCGGCUUAUCAACUGGUCAGGCCG